rnacentral:rRNA from 1 species
AGUGAACGCUGGCGGUAGGCCUAACACAUGCAAGUCGAACGGCAGCACAGUAAGAGCUUGCUCUUACGGGUGGCGAGUGGCGGACGGGUGAGGAAUACAUCGGAAUCUACUUUUUCGUGGGGGAUAACGUAGGGAAACUUACGCUAAUACCGCAUACGACCUACGGGCGAAAGCAGGGGAUCUUCGGACCUUGCGCGAUUGAAUGAGCCGAUGUCGGAUUAGCUAGUUGGCGGGGUAAAGGCCCACCAAGGCGACGAUCCGUAGCUGGUCUGAGAGGAUGAUCAGCCACACUGGAACUGAGACACGGUCCAGACUCCUACGGGAGGCAGCAGUGGGGAAUAUUGGACAAUGGGCGAAAGCCUGAUCCAGCCAUACCGCGUGGGUGAAGAAGGCCUUCGGGUUGUAAAGCCCUUUUGUUGGGAAAGAAAAGCAGCAGGUUAAUACCCCGCUGUUCUGACGGUACCCAAAGAAUAAGCACCGGCUAACUUCGUG